CUCAGCCCUGCGGGGGCAUCGCAGGGCGCCUCGGGUAAAGCUGGGGCUUCUCCUGAUUUAAUUUUGGUUUUAUUUUUACUUUUGCAGCGUGCGUAUAAUGUGUGAGUUACAGAGCUAUUAUUAUCUAAAGUCAGAGCCAAUCAUAAGCAAGCAGCUGGUACGUAGUUACUAUCACAGUGGAGUGUGAACAGAAGUGGGGUUGGGGUUUUUUGAGAGCCUGACUGCAGUUGACUGAGAACAGAAACACAGAAGCUAGAUUUACCUGGUCCAUGUCUACAGAGUGUGCAAAGCCUUAUACAAAACAAAAGUUGUCUAUUGCAGCCCAAGCAAGAGAAAGUCAGAUAAUAAGCAGAAGGAUUACGCCACAUCUGGAUGUAUUGCCUUCCAUGACAAAGGAGGUGUUUUCCUGUGCUUUCACCACUCAUAUUGCUACAUCAUGUGUAAAAAAUGUAGCAUUUCAGAGGCCAUCAUGCUUGCUUUUCUCCCAAGGGAUCAAGGCCAACAUAGACUGUGAAGAG